UACGGAGGGUGCGAGCGUUAUUCGGAUUCACUGGGCGUAAAGGGCGCGUAGGCGGUUUCUUAUGUGAGGUGUGAAAUCCUUCCGCCUAACGGGAGAAGUGCACGUGAAACUGGGAGACUUGAGUAUGGGAGAGGGAAGUGGAAUUCCUGGUGUAGAGGUGAAGUUCGUAGAUAUCAGGAGGAGCACCUGUGGCGAAGGCGACUUCCUGGACCAAUACUGACGCUGAGGCGCGAAGGCGUGGGGAGCAAACAGC
rnacentral:rRNA from 1 species